CGGUGCAAAACUCCUACGGGAGGCAGCAGUGAGGAAUAUUGGUCAAUGGGCGGAAAGCUUGAACCAGCCAUACCGCGUGCAGGAAGGCGGCCUUAUGGGUUGUAAACUGCUUUUAUAAUGGGAUAGUGAUUAUAUCGUGCAUAUGAUAGGGAAGGUACAUUAUGAAUAAGUAUCGGCUAACUCCGUGCCAGCAGCCGCGGUAAUACGGAGGAUACGAGCGUUGUCCGGAUUUAUUGGGUUUAAAGGGUGCGUAGGCGGUUGAUUAGGUCUAUGGUGAAAUGGUUGUGCUCAACACAAUUUAGCUGUAGAAACCGGUCGGCUAGAAUAUAAGUGGCGUAGGCGGAAUAAAGCGUGUAGAGGUGACAUUCAUAGAUAUGCUUUAGAACACCGUUCGCGAAGGCGGCUUACGAAGGUAAAAUUGACGCUAAUGCACGAGAGCGUGGGGUAUCGAACAGAAUUAGAUACUCUGGUAGUCCACGCUGUAAACGAUGAUAACUAUAUGUCGGCGAUAGAAUGUCGGUGUAGAAGUGAAAGCGAUAAGUUAUCCACCUGGGGAGUACGAUCGCAAGGUUGAAACUCAAAGGAAUUGACGGGGGCCCGCACAAGCGGAGGAGCAUGUGGUUUAAUUCGAUGAUACGCGAGGAACCUUACCCGGGCUUGAACGUGAGAUGGAUAUCACAGAGAUGUGGUAGUUAGCAAUAACGUCUUGCGAGGUGCUGCAUGGUUGUCGUCAGCUCGUGCCGUGAGGUGUCAGGUUAAGUCCUAUAACGAGCGCAACCCUUGUUGUUAGUUACCAGCACGUGAAGGUGGGGACUCUAAUGAUACUGCCGGCGUAAGCCGCGAGGAAGGGGGGGAUGACGUCAAAUCAGCACGGCCCUUACGUCCGGGGCGACACACGUGCUACAAUGGUCAUUACAGAGGGCAGUUAGGCAGAGAUGUUGUACGAAUCUCUAAAGAUGGUCUUAGUACGGAUUGGGGUCUGCAACUCGACCUCAUGAAGUUGGAUUCGCUAGUAAUCGCAGAUCAGCCAUGCUGCGGUGAAUACGUUCCCGGGCCUUGUACACACCGCCCGUCAAG
rnacentral:rRNA from 1 species